rnacentral:lncRNA from 1 species
AAGGCCAUCUCCAACGGAUGACUUUAUCUUCAUAUUUUUGAAGUUAGAGCAAUCAAAACAACUCCAACGCAUGCUGGCUUUAUCUUCAUAUUUGAAGAUAUCAACAUUUUAUCUUCAAAUUUGAAGGAAUACUGUACAACUUUAUCUUCAUUACUAUUUGACCAACUCUCACACAACAUAUAUAUGUAUCUAUCUUUCUAUAUUUUAUUGUAUUAAAUUGAGUUUAAAGUAAAGUUUGAAGGAUUGGUUGGAGAAGAAUAAAGUUUGAAGGGUUGGUUUGAAGAUAAAGAUAGAGACAAG